rnacentral:rRNA from 1 species
ACGGGUGAGUAACACGUGGGCAACCUGCCCUGCAGAUUGGGAUAACUCCGGGAAACCGGGGCUAAUACCGAAUAACAUUGGAAACCUCAUGGUUUCCUUUUGAAAGGCGGCUUCGGCUGUCACUGCAGGAUGGGCCCGCGGCGCAUUAGCUAGUUGGUGGGGUAACGGCUCACCAAGGCCACGAUGCGUAGCCGACCUGAGAGGGUGAUCGGCCACACUGGGACUGAGACACGGCCCAGACUCCUACGGGAGGCAGCAGUAGGGAAUCUUCCGCAAUGGACGAAAGUCUGACGGAGCAACGCCGCGUGGGUGAAGAAGGUUUUCGGAUCGUAAAACUCUGUUGUCAGGGAAGAACAAGUACGGGAGUAACUGCCCGUGCCUUGACGGUACCUGGCCAGAAAGCCACGGCUAACUACGUGCCAGCAGCCGCGGUAAUACGUAGGUGGCAAGCGUUGUCCGGAAUUAUUGGGCGUAAAGCGCGCGCAGGCGGCCUUUUAAGUCUGAUGUGAAAGCCCCCGGCUCAACCGGGGAGGGUCAUUGGAAACUGGAAGGCUUGAGUGCAGAAGAGAAGAGCGGAAUU